AAACAUGAUGUACCCUACACUACAAUCCGCCCGGGGAUUACAACAUUAGUUCAAGACCCAAAGGACUUGGCGGUGCUUUACAUCCACCUAGAGGAGCCUGUUCUAGAACCGAUAACCCCCGUUCAACCUCACCCUCCCUUGUUCCUUUCCGCCUAUAUACCGCCGUCGUCAGCUCACCCUGUGAAGGACUAAUAGUGAGCAAAAUUGGCACAGCCCAAAACGUCAGGUCGAGGUGUAGCGUAUGGGAGGGGAAGAAAUGGGCUACAUUCUCUAGCUUAGAGACACGAAUGAUGCAUUGAAACAUGC
rnacentral:rRNA from 1 species